UACAGAGGUCUCAAGCGUUGUUCGGAUUCAUUGGGCGUAAAGGGUGCGUAGGCUGCGAGGUAAGUCGGAUGUGAAAUCCCGGGGCUCAACCCCGGAACUGCAUUCGAUACUGCUUUGCUUGAGUACUGGAGAGGAGACUGGAAUUUACGGUGUAGCAGUGAAAUGCGUAGAUAUCGUAAGGAAGACCAGUGGCGAAGGCGAGUCUCUGGACAGUUACUGACGCUGAGGCACGAAGGCCAGGGGAGCAAACGGG
rnacentral:rRNA from 1 species